rnacentral:rRNA from 1 species
UGGGGAAUAUUGGACAAUGGGCGAAAGCCUGAUCCAGCCAUGCCGCGUGAGUGAUGAAGGCCUUAGGGUUGUAAAGCUCUUUCGCCAGGGAAGAUAAUGACGGUACCUGGAAAAGAAGCCUCGGCUAACUCCGUGCCAGCAGCCGCGGUAAGACGGAGGAGGCUAGCGUUGUUCGGAAUUACUGGGCGUAAAGCGUGCGCAGGUUGUGAGUUCAGUUGGAUGUGAAAGCCCGGGGCUUAACCUCGGAUGUGCAUCCAAUACUGGCUCGCUGGAGGUUGGAAGAGGAGAGUGGAAUUCCCAGUGUAGAGGUGAAAUUCGUAGAUAUUGGGAAGAACACCAGUGGCGAAGGCGGCUCUCUGGUCCAUACCUGACACUCAUGCACGAAAGCGUGGGGAGCAAACA